rnacentral:ribozyme from 1 species
CUUUCGCUCUUUUUUUUUUUUUUUUUUUUUUUUUUUUGACUGUAUUCU